ensembl:rRNA 5S_rRNA 5S ribosomal RNA
ACGUACAGCCAUAUCACCCUGCAACUCACACCUGGCAACCCACUGAAGCUAAGCAGGUGUGAGCCUGGUCAGUACCUGGAUGGGAGACCUCCUGGGAAAAACUAAGGUUGCUGCUGGAA